rnacentral:rRNA from 1 species
UCUACGGGAGGCAGCAGUGAGGAAUAUUGGUCAAUGGUCGGGAGACUGAACCAGCCAAGCCGCGUGAGGGAGGAAGGUACAGAGUAUCGUAAACCUCUUUUGUCAGGGAACAAAGACUGGGACGCGUCCCCGGAUGAGUGUACCUGAAGAAAAAGCAUCGGCUAACUCCGUGCCAGCAGCCGCGGUAAUACGUAGGUGGCGAGCGUUAUCCGGAAUCAUUGGGCGUAAAGAGGGAGCAGGCGGCAUGGAGGGUCUAUUGUGAAAAGGCAAUGGCUUAACCAUUGUAAGGCGAAGAAACUGGCAGGCUAGAGUUCUAAAGAGGUUCGUGGAAUUCGAGGUGUAGCGGUGAAAUGCGUAGAUAUAUGGAGGAACACCAGUGGCGAAGGCGACGAUCUGGGAAGAAACAGACGCUGAGUCCCGAAAGCGUGGGGAGCAAAUAGGAUUAGAUACCCUUGUAGUC